rnacentral:rRNA from 1 species
AGUGGCGGACGGGUGAGUAACGCGUGGGUAACCUACCUCAUACAGGGGGAUAACAGUUAGAAAUGACUGCUAAUACCGCAUAAGACCACAGCACCGCAUGGUGCAGGGGUAAAAACUCCGGUGGUAUGAGAUGGACCCGCGUCUGAUUAGGUAGUUGGUGGGGUAACGGCCUACCAAGCCGACGAUCAGUAGCCGACCUGAGAGGGUGACCGGCCACAUUGGGACUGAGACACGGCCCAA